UACGGGGGGGGCAAGCGUUGUUCGGAAUUACUGGGCGUAAAGGGCUCGUAGGCGGCCAACUAAGUCAGACGUGAAAUCCCUCGGCUUAACCGGGGAACUGCGUCUGAUACUGGAUGGCUUGAGUUCGGGAGAGGGAUGCGGAAUUCCAGGUGGAGCGGUGAAAUGCGUAGAGAUCAGGCGGAACACCCGUAGCGAAGGCGGCCAGCUGGGCCGUCCCUGACACUGAGGCGCGAAGGCGUGGGGAGCGAACGGG
rnacentral:rRNA from 1 species